AGGCUGUGUCUGGCUCCCGCUCUCACAGCCAUUGCAGUACAUUGAGCUCCAUAGAGACAGCACCAGGGCAAGUGAGAGCCGGAUGGGCACUGGGCAACUCUGUGCCUCACUGAGGAAAAAUAACUAAACAUGGGCAAAGGAGAUCCAGCAAGCCAAGAGGCAAAAUGUCAUCAUAUGCAUUUUUGUCAAGAGGAGCAUAAGAAGAAGCACCCAGAUGCUUCAGUCAACUUCUCAGAGUUUCCUAAGAAGUGCUCAGAGAGGUGGAAGACCAUGUCUGCUAAAAAGAAAGGAAAAUUUGAAGAUAUGGCAAAGGCGGACAAGGCCUGUUAUGAGAGAGAAAUGAAAAUCUGUAUUACUCCUAAAGGGAAGACAAAAAAGAAGUUCAAGGAUCCCAAUGCACCCAAAAGGCCUCCUUCGGCCUUUUUCCUGUUCUGUUCUGAGUAUCGCCCAAAAAUCAAAGGAGAACUUCCUGGCCUGUCCAUUGGUGAUGAUGUGAAGAAACUGGGAGAAAUGUGGACUAACACUGCUGCAGAUGACAAGCAGACUUAUGAAAAGAAGGCUGUGAAGCUGAAGGAAAAAUACAAAAAGGAUAUUGCUGCAUAUCGAGCUAAAGGAAAGCUUGAUGCAGCAAAAAAAAGGAGUUGUCAAGACUGAAAAAAGUAAGAAAAAGAAGGAAGAUGAGAAAGAUGAAGAGGAUGAGGAGGAAGAGGAGUGGCCAGGCCUCUGGCCGCCUUCAGGCUCUGCUCCUGCAGCUGCGCAUACUCCACACCAAAGGAGACAAAGCUUUUGUUGAUUUCCUGAGUGAUUAAAUUAAGGAGAAAAGGAAAAUCCGGAAGCAUAAAACCCUCCUAAGAUGUCUGGAGGUUGGGAGCUGGAACUGAAUGGCACAGAAGCUAAAUUAGUGCUCCGGGGAAAAAAAUCACUGUCACUUUCAACAUUAACAACAGCAUCCCUGAAACAAAACAAAAAAAAAAAGAGGAAAACAGCAGCAUCCAACCAACAUUUGAUGGUGACAAGGACCCCUUGAAAGGGCAAAAGGUUGAAAAACAGGAGCCUGAAUUGACAUUAACUCCCAAUUUCGUGGUUGAAGUCAUAAAGAAUGAUGGCAAGAAGGCCCUUGUGCUGGACUGUCAUUAUCCAGAGGAUGAGGUUGAACAAGAAGAGGAAGCUGAGAGUGACAUCUUCUCUAUCAGGGAAGUUAGCUUUCGGUCCGCUAGCGAGUCUGAAUGGAAGGAUACUAAUUAUACAGUCAACACAGAUUCCCUGGGCUGGGCCUUAUAUGACCACCUAACUGAUUUCCUUGCAGACUGAGGGGUGGAUAACACUUUUGCCGAUGAGUUGGUGGAGCUCAGCACAGCCCUGGAGCACCAGGAGUACAUUACUUUUCUUGAAGAUCUCAAAAGUUUUGUCAAGAGCCAGUAAAGCAGACAGGCACUGAAAGCCACAGUUUUAUGACAGGCUUUUGGCCAGUGAACAAAUCCUACUCUGAAGCUAGACAUGUGCUUUGAAAUGAUUAUCAUCCUAAUAUUAUGGGGGGAAAACACCAAAUUUAAAUUAUAUGUUUUGUACUCUCAUUAUCACUUUUCUGUACACAUCUAUUGUUUCUACAUUUUUGUAUAACAUAAGACAAUAAAAUGGAUUUAUCUCCU